UGUUCUAGAGCAGUGUGCGGACCAAAAUGCCCCUCAAUUCGUUAGUUAAGUCACCUUUUUGCCUUCUUUUCUACAGUGAAAUGACUUCCUUACCCUCCGAGGCCACGCGUUUAUCCUCUCCUUCUUCUGGAUUUGCCCGCCUUGCCCACGCGUCGAUCAUCAGGAAAAAGUUCUGCUUCGGCAUUUUCUCCACUUUUCCUUCCGUAUUCACUUUUCUCUCGAACAAAAGUCUGCUUCUAUCGCUCUCAAAUCUCGACUUCUCUCUGCGUCUCUCACUUAUCUCUCAGCUGUCUCUCUCACUCUUGAGGUACCCUGCCACUGGAUAUCGUUUGACGUUGCCGAUCUGCAAGGUGAUUUGUUACCUCCAAGGUCCACCGUCGUUUAUUGGUCACUGUGCUUUUCGUUUUUUGGGGCUUAUGUAUACAAGCUUGGAAGCCAAUUAUGUUCAAGGUUGUUCUAGACUUUGUCGAUACUGCACAGUUCUCUUCGUAGCCCAUUUCUAUUUCGUAUAGGAGAGCUUGAUAACAGGUAUGGGUGUGGACACCCAAUAUGACAUUUACAUGGUGAUGCUAUCUGGUUUCACAUAAUUAUACUGGGAACCGUCGAAAUUUUGGUUUAGCUGCAGAUAAAACAAAAUCAAAACGUUACAAAGUAGAGGUAUAAUUUAAUUUUUAUAUUUGAUGCAUCAUUGGAUUAAAUGAAUAUAGUAAGAAGAUUGACUUGACGUAUGUGCUUUCGUUUUAUAUUUAGAAUGGAUGUUUUCCUUAAAUUUGCUAUUAAUUGGUUUUGGUUUUCCUCACCGAGCAUGUGAAGGGUGUAAUCUACCUAAAGUAAAUAACCCAAACAGUUGAAAAUGCACUCACCUGUUUUAUUGAUAACCAUACAGAGAUUUGAAUCAUUCAAUUUGUGUUAAAAUAUUGUAUUGUUUUAAUUUCAAUGCUUUCUUCUUAAUUUGUAUCAGCUUUUUAGCUUAUUAGUUGCUUAUAUAAUUAUUCCUGUGUUUUUUUGUAAAUUUACGAAGAAGGAUUGCAAAAAAAUCACUUAAUGCUUUGGAAAAUUGCUUGGUGAUUCUAUUUGGAUACAUUGAUAGUAGAUUUCGUAUCAACUACCAUGCGUCCAACUACGUACCUUCUUCGUUUAAUUUAAAAUGGUCUGCAAUGACAUCGAUUGUAUCAAAAAGUUCGUGCACCAAAUUUAUGCUUUUCAUGUAAAAUUCUUUCAAAAAGUUCAAACAUCUUUCAAUUUAAAUAACAUUAACGAUUUAUAACAA